rnacentral:lncRNA from 1 species
GCGAAGGCCAAGAGCAGCUGCAAAAUCAAAGACAAAGAACAAGCUCGUCAAAACUCGUUUGAUCGAUCGAGGUAAGAGAUUUUCGUAUUCUUCUCACCUUUCUAUAGUCACCACUUGUGUCUGAUUGAAUGUCUUUGUCCAGGGAGCGAUGAUACUUGGUUUGAUAUGCCUGGCGUAUGUAGUAGAGCUGCGAGGGAGUUCUCGAGCAGAUGAUCUCGAUCAGCGUCUUAUCUUUGGUACCCAGUCCUUUCAUCGCAUCUCUGAGUAACACCGCGUCCCUUUCAGCUGGCUCCAUCAUCCACAGCAGCACUGCUUGCUGGAAG